GAGCUUACAAUUUCUAUAUCUUGUGUUAUAAGCAACUGCAGUGCAUCAUGUUCCUCUUGUUGAUUCUUCAAUAAUGAAGCUUCCAUCACUUUUGUAUUGUGCUUUAACACUAAUCCUUGUGGAUGGGGUACCCUACUGUGAUCGAGAAUAAGUUGUUGUAGUUGCUGUCGUGAGUGGUUUCCUUCUCACGUGUGUCUUUAGGUGCUCUGAUACGUAACAGGAUGAGACUUUGUUACAUACUUUUCUAUUCCUUAAGUAUUGCUUAUGAUUUUACAUGACUAUGUUUUAGAUGAGAUUUUUAUUUGAUGUUAUGAUUAGGCCUUUGUGCUAAAAACUAUUUUAGAUGUUGAAUUUAAUCUGCUGAGAAGUAUGAAUUAUUAUGUUAUUGAAUUUUGAAGGAUAAUUAGU
rnacentral:lncRNA from 1 species